AGCCAGAGCCAAGGUGCCUUCAGCGCCAGGACUCUGCACUGGAGGGCUCCCGGUCCUGACCGCGCAGGGUUCCCCUUUUCCUCCCCGCUGGGAUGAAGUGUCUAUGGAAUCUGGGAUCUGAGUGAAACUGCGGCCCUGCUGGUAUCCAGGGACGUGAGGUUCCGGGGGACUGCGUUUCCCUGUGGCUUUCCAGGUCGGCAGGAGCCGGAGGAAAUGGGGUGCCAGAGCCGUGCCCCAUCAGGCCGUGUUUGCCUCUGAGGAACAGAGAGUCCGGGCUGAGGGAGAAGAGGACGAACUCCCAGCCAUUCAGGCCUGACAGUCCCCUGCAGCGAGAGCAUACACUGUUUACCUCAAAAUUCCCGGAUCCAGAACAGCUACUCUGAGUUUUGGUAGAGAUUCCAAAGCAGGAUACAGUAGGUUUCAAAGUACACCUUGGAAAAUCAAUCGUUUGUCUGCAGCAUGCAGCAGGUAGGUGUGAUGUCUGUAACUGGUCUUAGUUGAUGCAGAGGUACUUGGAAAAAAAUGUUUAAUCUUUCAUCUCUCCCCACCUGCAUUCUUCCUAAGUGUACUUUUUAUUCAGCAGGACUCGGAUGAGUGAGAGAGAGAGAGAGAGAGAGAGAGAGAGAGAGAGAGAGAGAGAGAGGAACUCUCUUCACAUCAGCGUCAAAGGAAAAAGUGUUCAGCGACUUACAGUCCUAGUGACUGUUCUGUGUAAAAGCAGGAUUGUUUUUCCAUCAGACCUUGCGUGCCGUACCAGUCUGUGCGUUAACAGGUGUCUAAGAAAGGUCAAAAGGGAAUAACUCCAUGUCGUUCACUCGUGUGAAUCUUGGUGGGGAGCAGAGCCGAGAGGGAAGUGCAGUGAGGGGGAGGUUACUGAAGCCCCAGUUUGUUUCCAGUGAGCGUGGUGUUGUGGUGUUCAAAGUUACAGGUGCCUGCUGGCCUGGAGCUGGAUACUUCUGCCUCUGCUUUCUUUGGGGGUUGAUGAUUCCUUAUGUUUAUGUUGGUGUGCCAGACAAAUUGUUAAAGGUAUUUCCAUCAGACCUGGUUUGAAUGUGUUACCCCUUCAUUUAAUUAAAAGAAAAAAAGCCCCGCUCCAUCACUGCUGCUGUGAUGUGUGACAAAAGGCCAUCUUCCCUCCACUGGGAGCAGGUGAGAGAUGGAACUAAACCCCAAAGGAUUUUCUGCUCACUGAUGGCACGUGAGUUUUCUUGGGAAUUCUCUGCCAAAUCUGGUGAAUUGUUUUUGAAUGUGGCCAUGAGGGGAGUUGAACGUGCCCGUCCAGAUCUGCAAACAUGCAGUGCCAGAAGGAGAAGCCUUGAAAUGUAAACCGGGAUUUAUUCACCUGACUCACAGGUGUGUGUGCUGUGCCCAGGUCCCCUGUCCAAAUCCUGGGCGGGGAGAAGCCAGGACUGCACAUUCCUUGUGAUAGGAAUUCAGGUUUUUCUGGGGGGGGGUCGGGGUGGGGGUUAAAUACAAAUGAGAUGCCAGGGAGGGAAUGGCUCCUACGUGUAAAUAUAUUUGCCCAAAAGGAGCCCUGCCCAGUCUGACUGCUGCCCAGUGCUGCUCCCUGACUGUACCCUCUCUUGGUGAGCCUCUGUCCCGCUGGCCGUGGUUUUGUUUUCUGGUUUUGUUUCUUUUUGUUUGUUUGGUUUUUUUUUUUGUUUUUUUUUUAUUUCAUCCUGCACCCCGAUCUUCAUUUUCUUCCCGUGUCGUCUCUGCUGCCACUGUCCCUUUCUGCCUCGUGUCCUCUGUGUCUGGUUUAUAAUGUGUAGACUAUAUGGAUAUAUGAAUUCCACGUAAGUAUGCCAAAUAUAAAUAGAAAAAUGAAUUGAAAUAUAGUUUUAAAAUAAAGGGGUUUUAAUUUUCUGUUUUGUUAGAGGCCGGGCUUUUCCAUAAAGGAUAUAAAAAUGUGAAGAUAUAGAAUAUAUAAAUGUGUGUGUGUGUGUGUGUAUAUACAUAUAUAUACACACACAUAAAAUACAAAUGUUAGUAAUAUAAAGAUUUCUUAAUAAAAAUAAUAUUGUACCCAUGUUGUAAUUGAUGCCAAUAUACAUUAAAUUCAAUAUCCAAAAAUAGGUAUUGAUUAUGAAUAUAAAUUAAUUAUUAACAAACAUAUAUUUUUUAAUAUAUAUAUAUAUCUAUAUCUAUAUCUAAUGGGUUUGGGGUUUUUUUAAUUUGUUCAUGGCAGGGAUUUUUUAGUUUGGGUCGGGGUUUUUUGGGGGGCAUUCGUUUAGUAGGAUUUUUUAAAGGGAGGGACCUCGAUGUUUUUUGGCCCCUUGUCUGUGUGUGUGUGUGUGUGUGUGUGUGUGUGUGUGUGUGUGUGUGUGUCUGUCUCUCUGUCUGUGUGUGUCUGUCUCUCUGUCUGUGUGUGUCUGUCUCUCUGUCUGUGUGUGUCUGUCUCUCUGUCUGUGUCCCCCGUGUCCUCAAAGAGCCGCAGCCCCGGGCUGAGCUCGGCCGCAGUGCUGCCGCCUUGUGGGAAGAGAUCGGUACUGCAGCCGUGCCCGGAGCCGGAGCCCUGGCAGUGCUGCCGCCUUGUGGACACAGCGCGGUACUGCAGCCGUGCCCCGAAGCGGCGACGGGCUCCUCCUCGGCGCUGCUGCGGGAGGGCGGUGGGGGCGUGUGACCUUCUCAAGAUGGCGGA